rnacentral:rRNA from 1 species
CCUACGGGAGGCAGCAGUGGGGGAUAUUGCACAAUGGGGGAAACCCUGAUGCAGCGACGCCGCGUGUAGGAAGACGGUCCUCUGGAUUGUAAACUACUGUCCCCAGGGACGAAGAUGACGGUACCUGGGGAGGAAGCUCCGGCUAACUACGUGCCAGCAGCCGCGGUAAUACGUAGGGAGCGAGCGUUGUCCGGAAUUACUGGGUGUAAGGGGAGCGUAGGCGGGGAUGCAAGUUGGGUGUUAAAUCUACCGGCUCAACUGGUAGUCGCACUCAGAACUGCAGCCCUUGAGUGAAGUGGAGGCAGGCGGAAUUCCUAGUGUAGCGGUGAAAUGCGUAGAUAUUAGGAGGAACACCAGUGGCGAAGGCGGCCUGCUGGGCUUUUACUGACGCUGAGGCUCGAAAGUGUGGGGAGCAAACAGGAUUAGAUACCCCAGUAGUC